rnacentral:rRNA from 1 species
UACGGGGGGAGCAAGCGUUGUUCGGAUUUACUGGGCGUAAAGGGCGCGUAGGCGGCCUCCGCAAGUCGACUGUGAAAUCUCCGGGCUUAACCCGGAAAGGUCAGCCGAAACUGCGGGGCUAGGGUGCAGAAGGGGCAACUGGAAUUCUCGGUGUAGCGGUGAAAUGCGUAGAUAUCGAGAGGAACACCUGCGGCGAAGGCGGGUUGCUGGGCUGACACUGACGCUGAAGCGCGAAAGCUAGGGGAGCGAACGGG